rnacentral:rRNA from 1 species
UACGGGGGGAGCAAGCGUUGUUCGGAUUUAUUGGGCGUAAAGAGCUCGUAGGCGGCCCUCCACGUCGGAUGUGAAAGCUCAGGGCUCAACCCUGAGAUGCCAUUCGAUACGGGAAGGCUAGAGGUAGGUAGGGGAAAGUGGAAUUCCUGGUGUAGCGGUGAAAUGCGCAGAUAUCAGGAGGAACACCAAUGGCGAAGGCAGCACUCUGGGACGUGACUGACGCUGAGACGCGAAAGCGUGGGGAGCAAACAGG